CAAACAUGCAAGUCUAGGGGGUGUAGCAAUACAUCACCGGCGGACGGGUGCGUAACGCGUGGGAAUGUACCUAUUGGUUCGGAACAACUGAGGGAAACUUCAGCUAAUACCGGAUGAGCCCGAAAGGGGAAAGAUUUCUCGCCAAUAGAUCAGCCCGCGUCCGAUUAGCUAGUUGGUGGGGUUAUGGCCUACCAAGGCAACGAUCGGUAGCUGUUCUGAGAGGAAGAUCAGCCACACUGGGACUGAGACACGGCCCAGACUCCUACGGGAGGCAGCAGUUGGGAAUCUUGGACAAUGGGGGAAACCCUGAUCCAGCCAUGCG
rnacentral:rRNA from 1 species